rnacentral:rRNA from 1 species
CCUACGGGAGGCAGCAGUGAGGGAUAUUGGUCAAUGGACGAGACUCUGAACCAGCCAAGUCGCGUGAAGGAUGACUCCCCUAUGGGUUGUAAACUUCUUUUAUAAAGGAAUAAAACAAGGCACGUGUGCCUUUUUCCAUGUACUUUAUUAAUAAGGAUCGGCUAACUCCGUGCCAGCAGCCGCGGUAAUCCGGAGGAUCCGAGCGUUAUCCGGAUUUAUUGGGUGUAAAGGGAGCGUAGAUGGGUUCUUAAGUCAGUUGUGAAAGUUUGCGGCGCAACCGUAAAAUUGCAAUUGAUACUGGGAGUCUUGAGUACAGUUGAGGUAGGCGGAAUUCGUGGUGUAGCGGUGAAAUGCUUAGAUAUCACGAAGAACCCCGAUUGCGAAGGCAGCUUACUAAACUGUGACUGACAUUGAUGCUCGAAAGUGUGGGUAUCAAACAGGAUUAGAUACCCCUGUAGUA